ensembl:lncRNA
GUCAGAUCAUAGAUAAUAUAGAAGACAGCGAGCUAGCGUCUCUAGUCUGCUAUAUGUAUCUAUGGUUAGCACGUCUGGUAGCAUCUCUGGCUGCUGUUGACCUUGUUUUUGGAGUAAAACACGGUGGAAGCUGAAUUAGUGAGGAUGACUCCUGCUCCUGUCAUCUCUAAGCUCCUCACACAUCUUUACCUGCACAUGAGGAAAAUCACUCCUGUAGAAUGCAGUGGUUCAUCAGAACCUCUGGGGAUGUCCUGUGGAUUCUGUGGAUCCUGUGGGUUGCAGGGUGGGUCCUACCUAGACCAGGCUGAUCCUGGACCAUCCCACAGAUGCUCAAUCAGAUCUGGAUGUGGGGAGUGUGGAACCCAGAUGUUCAGAGGGAGAUGAUGCCACAUCUGGUCCAGCUGAUGGAAGGUCUUGAAGUUCUCUGACUGGCCUCGACUGAAGAUGGUCGUCUCACUGGAUUUAAGGUUCAGAUGCUCAGUAACAAACUCCACCAAUGAGCCAACAGGGAAGCUUUAGGUUUAUUAAAUGUUGCUAUGAAGGUAUCACUGUUUUUCUUUGUGAAUGCAAUGUGCUCCAACUGAAACUUGAAUUAGAACUUAGAAGUAAAUCCUUCCAUCUGAAAGGAUCUAGUUGCAUUAAUAACCUCAUAACAUUCUAAUUUUUAUUCCAGUCUUGGUUGGAAAUAGAAUCUCUGUAUUGAUUCAGGUAAAAACUGAACUUCACAGCAUGUUGGAGCAAAACAACCAGAUGAAAACUGUGAUGGUGUUGGAUUGUCAGACCGUAAUGUUGCAGCUCAAAGCAGCUUUUCUAUCUCAGUUCAUUCUGACAUUCAGCUAUGAAUCAACACAGCAGAUGGUGAUCCAUGCUGUGGAAGUCUCACAUCUCCUGAUUUAAUGGAGCUGCUUUGCACUUUUUACACUGUUUAUUCACCAACACUUUAUUUAAUAAAAGUCCCAUCUAGUUUUUAUGAGGAAUGUGAUGUUUUAAUUUCUCUGUGAAUAACUGCAGUCUAAUGCAACAGCUGGAGUUGUAACAUCUGUCCUGAUAUUGAUCAUGAAGUAUUGAUCAGAAUACUUAUGGUUAGCAGUCAUCCCUGAAGUUUUACAUUAAAAUCUUUACUUGUGUUGUGAACUUUGGUAAGAAGCAGAAAUGUUAGCGUUGCCAUGGAUACAUGAGUGUUAAAUUCUGUCCAUGUUUCCAUUUUGGGAAAUGCAGUCCAGUUCCAGAAUGUGGAGGAAUUUAGUCUCACAAUCACAGACAACAAAUAUUAUCUGAAAGUCGGGUUAUUGUUGUUUAUCAGCACAAUACAAAAAGAUUAAUGUUAGAAAUAUUCCAGUUAAGACUCUAGAAUAUCAUGAUUUAUGUAAAUUUACCUCAAUAAUAUGAAUGUUCAGGUUAAGAUUGUACAGUGAUAUUUAUUAUGUAAGUUUAGCUGAUUAAAGUUUAUGACUGCACUAAAAUAUUAUUUAAAUUGACAUCAUUAUUAUAAUAUUUAGGGUCAGACCCUACAGUAUUGAGAUUAAGAAAUCAAAUAUUCUAUAAAAUGUAAAUACACUGAACUCAUUUGGAUAUAUUUAAGUGAGACUCUACAAUAUUAUUUGACACAAAUCUAUCUAAAUCAAAAUUUUAAUAAUUUUCACACCAAACAUUUACUGGACUGAUUUAAAUAUUAAAAUCACUCCUUUCUAAUCCUCUGCUGUACGUUCAAACCUGAGGCCUUAAAUAGAAACACACAAGUAUCUGAUUGAAGGAACUUCUGCAGAGUCCUGGUUCCAGAACAUGAUGAUAGAAUUAUAGACAAACUUUAACAAAAGCUGCCUGAGAGUUUACAGGUUUUUAUGUUAGAUUUCUUCAGUAAUUUAAUGAGAGUUAUCAGCAAUAAUCAAGUGUUCAUUUGAUGAACUUCAUUUCCUAAAACAUCCAGAAUUGGAGCUCAUAUCUUUGGCAGCUGUAAAGUUUCUGCUCCUUCAAAGUUCACAACACAAUGAAUGAAUUCCUAAAACACUCUCAAUGCUGGAGAGCGUUUGUGAUGCUGAAGCAGUGAGCAGUUUUUCUGUUUCUUCUCUGGAGAUGCACAAUGAGGGACGUCUGCAGAGACUGAGAAAGAGUCUCACCACAUCCUGACAUGAGGAAAAAGACUUUAUUGAAGACUACAAUGAGAAAAACUAUCAGACAGCAGACGGCUGCAUUCAAGCUGCUGAAUUCAUGGAUGAAUCAUCUGGCACUAGAGAGGAAGACCAUCAAACAUCCACGUCAGCUGAUGGAGGUCCAAGAGUCUCACCAAACAAACAACCUACAGAGUGAAGACCUCCAAUCUGAUUGGACGGCCUCCUAUUCAGCCACAUGUGUGAACAAAUGCCUCUAAGCUGAUUUGUUUUCUAAAAUAAAU